rnacentral:lncRNA from 1 species
GGAUGGAUUAAAAUAGGACAGAUCAAAAUCAUUUAAUAUCGAAAGGAGUAGCGCUGAAUAAAAAGAAUAGAAUCCGUACGAACACACCGAACAGAAAGGAUCAAAACAGAGUAAUCAAAUUUACUUAACACUAAUAGAAGUAGUGCUGAAUAAAAGAGAACGAAAUCCGUACCUCGAAAAUAGCAAACUCAAAGACUAACGAACCUCGCAAAGGACCAACUAAACUCCCGAACCCCGACUUUAACUUAAACUCCAAAUAUCUCCAUUGUUCCAAUCUGCCCAGAUCAAUAAUCUACUGUUUUGACCCUCUAAACGAUGUUUUAUGGAAAAACUCAAAACACGAAAGUCGUAGAGAACGAAAAGACC